AGGAGGUGAGGGUGACCCCAGCACAGGUACUAUGCCUGUGACACCAUUGACUGCAUGCGUGGGAAGUCAUCCAUUAGCAGCACGGCAGGGCAAGCAGAGGUGAGAAUGACAACGCAUCCUACUAAUAGGUCAGCAAUAUGGCAAAAGCAAGAGAAGUUAGGCCCAAGGUCAGGCCAGCAGAGACAAACAGCAAUUCAGGAACAGCAAGGAACAGGACCGGGACAGGGCACUCCUAUAUAUCACUGUGGCUGAAUGUGAGUACGUGUCCUCAUCAGUGGUCUUCUGCAUGGCACACAGAACUUCAGACAUCUGGUGAUGCAACUGAACUGCAGAGGGGAUGAAAAUGAACCAGCUACUUUUGGAAACAGCGAAAUAGUAAAGGCAGAAAGAAGAUGAGUAUCUCAAAAAUUGUCAAAUCUGAGAAAUUUCUUUGAAUGAUAACAUCUCCAGCUCUACAGACAUGAAAAGUAUGGAACAUGCAUUUUAUUAUCCAAAUCAAUUCUACCCCUUAUGCUUGGUAUUUCUCAGCUGUAGAGCCUUAUUCUACACCAGAAGUUCUUUCAGUUCUCGUAAUAAAAUUACAUUGUAG
rnacentral:lncRNA from 1 species